GUGUAUUUUUGCCGUGCUAAGGUAGCANAAUCAUUUGCUUUUNAAUUGAUAGCUGGAAUGAAAGGUUGCUCUUAUUUUAAUUUUUGUCUAGUUNAAAUAAUAAGUNAAAGUNAGGGUAAGAAUUCUUUAAUAUUCNAGGGGACGAUAAGACCCNAGAAGCUUAGGAUACAGCUAUACUUAUAUAAAAAGUUGAGCAUUUAUUUUACUGGGGCGGUAGGAAUAAAUUUGCUAUUUCUAUAUAAAAGAUCUUUAAAAUUAAGANAAUUGGUAUUAGUUACUCUAGGGAUAACAGUGNAAUUUUUUNAGAAAGAUCUUAUUGAUGAANGAGUUUGCAACCUCGAUGUUGAAUUAAGAUAUCUGAGUGAGGCAAAAGGUACUAAAGAAGGUUUGUUCAACCUUNAAAGNCUUACANGAUCUGAUUCAAACCGGAA
rnacentral:rRNA from 1 species